CCAACCAGAUUCACUUUGUUCUCCUGCCUCACUCCCAGAAGGCUUCCAACAAGGGACUUAAGCCUCCCCCCAGGCAGUCCCAGACUCCAGGAGUAACAAGCUGCUGAUGCUGUCGGUAAUCUAUCACUUUGGCUUCUUCCUCACCGUCUGCCGGUUCCCAGGGGAGGCAAAAUUUAGAAACAUACCAUCACGUGGGGUCUCUUCGCACAGCAACGAUGGAGUGCUCUGGGUUGCAGUGACCUCAAUUUCUUCCUUUCCUGCCAGUGCCAUCAGCUGUUUCUCGCCUCCCUGGCAGAUGAAGGGACAUGAAUCAACUCUUGUCUCACUAGUAUCUUCCUGCCCUUUUCCCUUGCUGCUUCCUUCGGGAAUCUGUUCCAGCUUACUGUGGAGAUACAGCCCGACAAUGCCCAGUUCCUUCUUCCCAGAGCUGCUGCUGUCAUUGCUGAAGUGGAUCAGUUCUUCUCUCUCCUUGGCCACUGGUUCCUCGAAGGUUACAGGAGUAGGUACCUCAGAAGCAGACAGGCCAGGCAGCUCCCCAGCACUCAAUCCGCAGCCGG
rnacentral:lncRNA from 1 species